rnacentral:rRNA from 1 species
AUUGAACGCUGGCGGCAUGCCUUACACAUGCAAGUCGAACGGCAGCACGGGUGCUUGCACCUGGUGGCGAGUGGCGAACGGGUGAGUAAUACAUCGGAACAUGUCCUGUAGUGGGGGAUAGCCCGGCGAAAGCCGGAUUAAUACCGCAAACGAUCUACGGAUGAAAGCGGGGGACCUUCGGGCCUCGCGCUAUAGGGUUGGCCGAUGGCUGAUUAGCUAGUUGGUGGGGGAAAGGCCUACCAAGGCGACGAUCCGUAGCUGGUCUGAGAGGACGACCAGCCACACUGGAACUGAGACACGGCCCAGACUCCUACGGGAGGCAGCAGUGGGGAAUUUUGGACAAUGGGCGCAAGCCUGAUCCAGCAAUGCCGCGUGUGUGAAGAAGGCCUUCGGGUUGUAAAGCACUUUUGUCCGGAAAGAAAUCCUUGACCCUAAUACGGUCGGGGGAUGACGGUACCGGAAGAAUAAGCACCGGCUAACUACGUG